rnacentral:rRNA from 1 species
UACGUAGGUGGCAAGCGUUGUCCGGAUUUAUUGGGUUUAAAGGGUGCGUAGGCGGUCUAUUAAGUCAGUGGUGAAAUACUCCAGCUUAACUGGAGGGGUGCCAUUGAUACUGAUGGACUUGAGUGAAGUCGAGGUAGGCGGAAUUGACGGCGUAGCGGUGAAAUGCUUAGAUAUCGUCAAGAACACCAAUAGUGAAGACAGCUUACCAGGCUUAUACUGACGCUGAGGCACGAAAGUGUGGGGAUCAAACAGG